UGCCUUUUGUGUUGCCAUUUUGCUGUAUAAGUGGCAAAUGUGGUGUCUGAAAAGGCAAAUAUAAAACCCAUCACAGCCUGCUACACCUUGUGCUAUUCCCCUUCCCUGGUGUAUGGCUGUGCUGGAACACAU